AGCAGCCGCGGUAAUUCCAGCUCCAAUAGCGUAUAUUAAAGUUGUUGCAGUUAAAAGCUCGUAGUUGAAUUUCGGGGUCAGCAAGUUGGUCGUGCCACUGGUAUGCACUGGCUUUGCUGAUUCCUCCUUCUUGUAGAACCGUAAUGCCAUUUAGUUGGUGUUGCGGGGAAACAGGACUGUUACUUUGAAAAAUUGAGUGUUUAAAGCAGGCUAACGCCUGAAUACAUUAGCAUGGAAUAAUGAAAUAGGACGAGCGAUCCUAUUUUGUUGGUUUCUAGGAUUGACGUAAUGAUUAAUAGGGAUAGUUGGGGGCAUUAGUAUUCAAUUGUCAGAGGUGAAAUUCUUGGAUUUAUUGAAGACUGACUACUGCGAAAGCAUUUGCCAAGGAUGUUUUCAUUAAUCAAGAACGAAAGUUAGGGAUCGAAGACGAUCAGAUACCGUCGUAGUCUUAACCAUAAACUAUGCCGACUAGGGAUCGGAUGAUGUUAAUUUUAUGA
rnacentral:misc_RNA from 1 species